CUGCAAAUCAGCCGCAAAUAACUGCCGCCGAAGAAGAGCGAGGCAACGAUUAAAAAAUUCGUCUAUAAAAAAAUUAAUCUUCAAAUUUGCAGCGAGUGACAACUGAUCUUUUCUCAAUGACACGAAUCUAGACUCAAUUUAGAGCAGCACUGCAGAGCGCUUCACUUAGUCAAACCUGCUAGCUUGCUCUGGUUAGCGUGUUUAUCAUACCAGCUAGCUUAGCCUCUCGCUAUCGUUAGCUCGUAAACUCAGCUUUCGUUGGGAAUUUCGACGCAGACUCAGUGACGCAGUGUAGCGACGGUGUCGUUUAUUAGUCAGGAACCCAAACAUGUCGGAUGACUAUGAAUUCAGCGACGACACGACCCUGAUGAGAAUGGAGGAGGACGGAGAGGCGAACAGCGACGACCCGAUGUCCGCGGCCGGGGACAGCGGCCUGAUGGGGGGCGAGGCCGAGGGAUCCAGAAUCGACGCCAGCAAGAACGAGGAGGAUGAAGGGAAGAUGUUCGUCGGGGGGCUCAGCUGGGACACGACCAAGAAGGACCUGAAAGAUUACUUCUCAAAGUUCGGGGAGGUCGUGGACUGCACCCUGAAGCUGGACCCCAUGACAGGGCGCUCGAGAGGUUUCGGCUUUGUGCUGUUCAAAGAACCAGAGAGUGUUGAUAAGGUCGUCUCACAGAAGGAACAUAAACUCAACGGGAAAGUCAUCGACCCCAAAAAAGCCAAGGCCAUGAAGAGCAAAGAGCCUGUGAAGAAGAUCUUUGUCGGCGGCCUCUCUCCGGACACUCCUGAAGAGAAAGUCAGAGAGUACUUUGAUGCCUUCGGAGAGGUGGAGUCAAUUGAACUUCCCAUGGAGAACAAAACAAACAAAAGGAGAGGCUUCUGCUUCAUCACGUUCAAAGAGGAGGAACCGGUUAAGUUGAUCAUGGAGAAAAAGUACCACAACAUUGGAUUAAGUAAGUGUGAGAUAAAGGUGGCGAUGUCUAAAGAGCAGUACCAGCAGCAGCAGUACUGGGGAGGCAGAGGUGGAUACUCCUCCAGGUCGCGAGGAAGAGGUGGUGGUCCCAAUCAAAACUGGAACCAGGGUUAUGGCAACUACUGGAAUCAAGGCUAUGGAAAUUAUGGCAACUACGGUUACGGUAAUCAAGGGUAUGGAGGAUAUGGUGGAUGUGAUUACUCUGGUUACAACAACUACUAUGGAUAUGGUGACUACGACAAUCAAUCUGGUGGAUAUGGCAAGUCGCCACGGCGCGUCGGUCACACCAACAGUUACAAGCCAUAUUAGUGGGGAAACCCCUCAUCGUCAAGUAGCGGAGCUUCCUUGCAGGCCAUGAGCUGACUCCCAGAUACUCUCAGGGCCCGCUCAAUGCGGACUGGGUACGAGAAGCAUACGCUCUCGAUUGCUGCCAUUUGGUCUCAGAGUGAUGAAAGUCUGCAGUGCACUGGCGGAGCAUUGGCCAAAGAGAUGAUGGUAUCCAGCAAAGGUCACUUAGCUGAUUGUAAGAAAGUAAAUGAAGAACACUAUGACCUACAUUACAUUUCCUCUAUAUAUUUACCAGAGUAUUUGUUGUAUCUUAAAAGUUUUGGAUUUUCAUGUUUUGCAUUCAUUUAGUUUGCUGCAAAGUUUGAGCAGUUCCUCGUUCCUUUUUGCUUUUGUAUUUAAUGUUGUCAAUUGCUAUUUGUGAAUUGCUUGAUUUAUCCCAUAACUGAAACUUUAGAUUGGUCGGAGCAGAUCACACAUAUAUUCACAUACAGUGGCAGCAGAGAUGCAUUGUUAUGCUAUUAUGUUAUGUUUAUCAUAGGCAUCAGUUAUAUAAUACAUUUAUUACAGUUUGACAGUCAUAAACAUACAGUAUAUAUAUAUACACAGUGUCUUG